UACGUAGGGACCAAGCGUUGUUCGGAUUUACUGGGCGUAAAGCGCACGUAGGCGGCUAUUCAAGUCGGGGGUGAAAGCCCGGGGCUCAACCCCGGAACUGCCCUCGAAACUAGAUAGCUAGAAUCUUGGAGAGGCGAGUGGAAUUCCGAGUGUAGAGGUGAAAUUCGUAGAUAUUCGGAAGAACACCAGUGGCGAAGGCGACUCGCUGGACAAGUAUUGACGCUGAGGUGCGAAAGCGUGGGGAGCAAACAGG
rnacentral:rRNA from 1 species